rnacentral:misc_RNA from 1 species
AACGCACCUUGCGCUCCUUGGUAUUCCGAGGAGCAUGCCUGUUUGAGUGUCAUUAAAUUCUCAACCCAUCCAGUUUUAAUAACUGGUGUGUGGCUUGGAUGUGGGGGUCUCUGCCGGCCUUUGUAAUAAGAGGUCAGCUCCCCUGAAAUGCAUUAGCGGAACGGUUUGCGAUCCGUCACUGGUGUGAUAAUUAUCUAUGCCAAAGACUUGUGAACGCUCUCUGUCUGUUCAGCUUCUAACAGUCCCUUCAUGUGGACAACCUUUAUAAUGAACAUUUGACCUCAAAUCAGGUAGGACUACCCGCUGAACUUAA